AUAUUCUAAGUGUCCAGAAAAUAUUUUUUUGGCAAAUGUCAGGCCUUAUAUCUCGGUUAUCUUUAAUGUGUUUUGUGUUCUAAAGGUUGUUAUGUGUAGCGUGUUAUGUGGUAUUUAACCUCCAAAAAGAAUCAGGUCCAUAUAUAUUAUGGAUUAAGAGUUAUUUAAGGUCAAAGUGGGUUGACCGGCAUUGACCGAAAAAUUCUGGGCAGCCCAGAAUUUUCUAAGUGUUGAUUUUUCUGACAAGGUUUGACCAUACUUUAGCUGCUUGAUUUCUUGUUGUUAUGAUGAUGUUAAGUGUUAAAGUUGUAGUCCUAUAUGUUGUCUACACACUGGAGUUGAUAGAUCACAUAAACGUUACACGAUCGUCAAGUUAUAGAGGCCCAAAGUAGGCAUCACGAACUGUUCUUUACGAAGAACAGCUCUGACAGCUAUUUUGAUAGCUAAUUUCUCCCAGAUCUGAUGUUGUUUAGAAGUAAUGAUUGUUGGUUAUUGUAGUCCGGUAUUUUGUCUACAAGAUCCAAGUCAUAUAUGUCCCAUAUUCGUUAAGAGCACAAAGUUAUUCACGGUCAAAGUAGUCUCCUCACACGCUGCUCUGACAGUGUUCUUGAGAUGAAGAACACCUAUAGCGACGAUUUUGUCACUAUAGGCCCCUUUGGCGACAGAUUUGAAUUAUUUUAAAUUUUUCAAUUUCUGGAAAUUGCGAAAAUGAUUAAAAAUAAGAUGUCUGAUAUUUACAGAUGUUGAGGUAUAGAAUAAGAGUCUUAGACUCAGUAUUUACCCGAUAAAGCUGUCGGUACGCCGACAAAUGUCAGACCUUAUAAAAGAAAGAAAAGACUACUGUAAGAGCAUGGAUGAGAUAUUUGAAAAAUGUAUAAAAAUAUUUCAAGUAUAGAAUAGGAACUAAAAGUAUGAUCACUGUGAUUAUGUGAUUAGACUAUGUGCUGACUGUAAUAGACAGUACUAUGUGUUAAGAUAUAUUGUUCUAAUCGAACGAAUGAUCUGAUUAUUGAUAGGUUGUGAUAAAGAGAUAAAACCUAAGUUGAGAUUUGUAAUCAGCGAAUCAGGCAAGUAUCCUACCUUUGCAUUUUCUUUAUGCAAUGGACAUGAGUAAGAAGUUUCAGAAUUAUUCUAUUCCUGUACAGAUUAUGUACGCUUUGAUUAUCAACAUGUUAGCUCAGAUAUAUAUUCUGUUAAGUUGAUUUCUAAAUGGUUAUACAAGUGUCCCCACUUGGAUAAUCAUGGCAUUUAUUCACAUGUUGAUAUACCUUUGUCAAUUACCCGUAUACAUAUAUGUUGAAUUACAUAUUAUUGUUGAGCAAGAUUAAAAACCUUCGGGUUUGGAACCAGGCAUGUAUGAACAUCCCGAUAAUGGGAAAAUUUUUAUGCGCUUCGGCGGACAAAGGGUGAGCGAUGAAUUUCGUUCAAGUUAUGUAGUAUUGAUCAAUACAGGGUACAACGGGGCUGAUCACCCUCCGUGCCCGUAAGUUAUGACGGUUUGCGGAUGAAUUUCUGCUAAACCUUUUCGAAAAUGAAAAACCAUGUUCAUAGUAUGUUUCUUAAACCCUAUUCAUGGGUGGAGCCUAAUUUCAAGAAAUUGAAAGAGAGUUGUUAUGUGAAUUUUUUAUCAGUACAGAUUACUUCACAACUUUCGAUUCGUUGUAGAAGUGUUAUGUAAAGAGAAUACUUAUAUUCUUUCAGCUUAUAUAUAUAAUUGCUAUUACUUGCUGGGCACUCAAAUGCUCAUCCUUGCUUAAACUAAAUGUUUUCAGUUACGUACGAUCGACCUGAAGGCUCAGGCACGAACAAGGGAAAAGAAAAGCUGUUCGAAUGAGAUUUAGUAUGAGUUAAUGGUUAUAGUUAGUAAGACAAUGGAAUCUAUUGUCAGGUAUUGUAAGGAAUGUAUUUGAAGGUCACGUACCUGGGGAAGUAAACUUUGAUGUAUGUAAAUUAAGUUCGAAUGUAUUAUUAUUUAGUAUUAUUCAGCUUAAAGAAAUGGUAUCGUGGAGAACCGAGUUCGGGUUUCAAGUACCCGGAUUUGGGGUCGCCACAGGUUGGUAUCAAAGCUGUAGGUUAUAAACGUUAGGAAUACGAAACCUAGGUUAUAACCUUAGUAGAAUAAAGGACGAAAGUUAAGAUAGAUAUUCAGUGAACCAUGAGAUGAAGUACUCUGGUGAGAAGUUAUAGGAUAUGAUGAGUCGAAGAGAUUCAUCAAGUGGUACUAAAUAAAAUAUUCCUUCAUUUUAUCGAUGAAUAUAUUUUAUUUCGGUACUAAUGUUGUCUCGUUUAUUGUGGUCAUAAGAUGAAUGACAAAAGUCAAGAUAGUAAUUCCUUGACCCAAGAGACGAUGGACUCUAACGAGGAGUACACAGACAGUGAGAUGAUAAGAGAUUUAUUAGUUAGGAACGAUGACUUAAAGGUUAGAGCUGAGCAAGCGGAGGCACAUAAUCGUACUCUCCAGAUUUUGGAACAGCAGUAUAAGGACGCUGCUCACCGAACACAGAUAGAAUUAGCAGAGUUACGAGGGAGGUUGGAGCAGAGAGAGAUACGGAUAGGACAGUUGAAGGUUGAGAUAGAAGCCAAAGACACCAAGAUAUAUACCUUGGAGCAGGCUUUAGUCAUCACCUUCAUGCAAUUCGAUGCAGAGUGGAUGGAGCUGCCUUUCGGCAGAGAGAUAGGCGUUGAUGAGAAUUGAAUAAAUUUAUCGUCAAACAAAAUAAGAGACAACAUAUAUAAAACUCUUGAUUGCUGUGUAUAUAUACACUAUGCUAAACAGGGUAACUUAUGUAUGUAGAUGUCUGGUGAGAAAGAUAUGUGGAAUAAGAAGGAUCAUAUUCGUACCCCCGAGCUAAUAUCGAGGCCAACAGCUGAAAUAGAAGCUCACCAGGAACCCAAAUCGGACGAGGUGGCUAUCGUGGAAAACGUAACAUCAGAUCCAGAAAUGGUGGAUUUGACAGAUAGUGAUUCAGACACUAAAGUUGAAACUGCUCAAGCAUCAACGGAGGUGCAGGAUCUGGAGAACAAGGUUUCUUCCUUGGAAAGGUUGUGGGAGAUAGAAAAGUUGUUGCGUCAGGCAUUAAUAGAAACAAUGGAAGAACAUGAUAAGCUUAAGAUCCAAAUUGAUCAGAUGGGAGCCUCAAGAAACACUUCGUGUGCAGCUCUGAGAGAUAAGGGAAAAAGAAAAAUAGAAGAUUGUGACUUGGAAAGACCUAGUAAGUAGAGAAGGAGAAUGAAUGAUUGUGAUCCUGAUAAUAACCAAGGAAAAAGUAACCGAAUAAAAAGGUGUGUAAAAUGUAACAAGAAACAUGAAGGCGUGUGCAGAAAAGGGACAAAUAAUUGCUACAAUUGCGGACAUAUGGGACAUUUCUCUCCUCAUUGUCCCAAUCCGAGGCAGUAUGUCUGUUUUGUUUGUGGAAAGAAAGAUCAUCAGGCGAAAAGCUGUCCAAGAAAGAAGGCUUAGUAAAUAGGUAGUAUGGGUUAUGUUNNNNNNNNNNNNNNNNNNNNNNNNNNNNNNNNNNNNNNNNNNNNNNNNNNNNNNNNNNNNNNNNNNNNNNNNNNNNNNNNNNNNNNNNNNNNNNNNNNNNNNNNNNNNNNNNNNNNNNNNNNNNNNNNNNNNNNNNNNNNNNNNNNNNNNAAGUUUCAAAAUUUAAUAUUUUGGAAUACAUGAUUAUUUGAGUAGAAAAUUUAAUGUUAUAUGUUGAACGAAUACGAUGAGGCUUAGAAUCUAAGGAAAUGAAGAAUAAUUUAUGAUUAUGUCACCGAGAUGAAAACGAAAACCAGCCGCGGAAGAUCAACCAGAUAAUCGAACGUCGAACGCCAAAGACUUUAAGACAAUCCUAUUGCUAGGGUAUAGAGGAUUAAGUGACUCAGUAGAAGCGUUUAUGAUAGUUAGGAUAACGAAAAGGGCAAAAGAUAACUUUUAUCACCUAUACGAUAAAAGGGAAAUGAGAUAAAGAGAAAGUUUAUGGGCAAAAGAGACAUAUCUCUUCCAAUUAUCCCAAUUCAAGAAUGUAUAGCGAAUGUUUUAUUUGUGAAUCAAUGGAGUAUAAGGUGAAAGAUUAUUCAAGAAGGAGAAGUGAGAUAAGGAAUGCGAAUACGAGAAAUGACAGCAAGAUAUAGGCGACAACGAAACCAAUUUCAACAAACAACCCAACUGCGAGGGUCUACAACAUGACGGUACAGGAUACGGUGGCAGCUGGAAACAGAACUCCAGGUGCUAUUUGAAUAACUUAUGUGUCUUAUAUGAUUUUCCUGUAUAUAUUUUAGAUUAUUUUUUUUAAAGAAAUUUUGAGUUCUUUUAGAAAUCAAAUUUCUGCCUAAUAAGAGUAUUAUGAAGAAUAGUUAAAGAUCAGUUCGAUCAAGUAUGAUCGAGGUCUACGUACAAUGAUUAUAUGCUAUGUACCCUUCUGCAUAUGAGUUUUUAAAGCGGUGAUUCCGGGGACGGAAUCCUUAUAAGGGAGGGUGAAUGUAAUAACCCGAGAUUUCCUAAAUAAAAUAAAUAAGAAAAUUUGCGUAAUAUUUUUUUUUUAUUUAAUGACGAGAAUAAGUGUCUAGUAAUGUGAACGAUAAAUGCGAAUAUAUUUAUUACUUGAAAAAUUAGAAAUAAUUUUGGAAUUAUUAAUUACUACAAAUUAUAUUUUUAUGGUAAUUAAUUUCUGUAAGCAGAAAUGUUUUUAUUAAUUAUUUUCCAUGAAAACAUGAUUGGAAAUAAUAUAUGAAGUGAUAAUUAGAAUUUAUAUAAUAUAUAUUUUAUUAUAUGAAUUGUUCAGAAUAUUUAAAUCAAGUAUUUUAACUUGAUAUGCGAAAGAGAAGUCAGAUAUGAGAUCCAAACCCUGAAUUGGGAUUGUGAUCAAGAGAUGAGAAUAAUAAUAUUAUAUUAUUGUUAUAAUGAUUUUACAGUACAAUAAUUAUGUACUGUGUAUGUGCGGACAGAUAAUAUUGAGCAAUGACGGUCAAUUAGGUCAUAGCAUAUUACCGUGCUGUGAAACCCUAAUUAUUAAACUUAGUUAUGAGAAAUGACUGAGUAGUGACUGUGUAUAUGAAGUUUACUGUGUAUAUGAAGGUUACUGUGUAUAAGAUGUCGGUAAUUAGAAGAAAACCCUAAUUACUGUUGUUUGUCGAUAAUUAGGACAAACCCUAAUUAUUACAACCCUAAUCGGUUGAAGUUAGAGAUUGUAAUGACUGUGUUAGAACAUACACAGAUAAUUAGAGAAUCCUAAUGGUCAAUUAGAAACCCUAAUUGAUGGCGUUAAGAAACCCUAAUUAGAAAACCCUAAUUUUUCAAUCAAAACCCUAAUUUAAAAUUAUCGGGUUUAAUUACGAUGUUAAUGUAUAAAAGUUUUAAUUUACCAAAGGAUAGAAUUAAUUGGUAAAUGAUAAGAAUUACCAUCUAGUGAUUAAAUACUACAUUUAAUUGCUAUGUACAAAAAUGCCCAUGAAAUUAUAUGCGAAAUUACCAAAAUGCCCUUUUUGGCUUAUUAGUGUAUUAUUAGUGUAUUAUUGGAGGAAUCUUGCUAGCAAAGCAUGGCAAACAUACUUACCCUACCAAUUAAGCAUCCAAGACUCAAUUAUGCAGAUUCAAUCAACCAUUGAGUAGCAUCCAAUGCAUCUAACUUGGUUUAUAUAUAGAUUGGAGAGAGAUAAUAUAUUUUGUACACUAAAAUUCAUCCAACUCUCAUCCUUAAGCUUCUCUCUCUAAAACCUACGAAUUAUUGUAGCAUAUCAGUCCCUAAACAAAGCCCAACCAUCACAAACAACAAAUCAGAAGCAUCAAGAAGCCAGAAAUCAAAAAUCAAGCUUGAAAAGGUAGGAAAUCCUAAAUUCUAGAAAUCCUUCGAUUCGAUGUUAAUUGAUGCAAUUGAUUGUUUAAAGUAGUGUAAUAGAGAGUCUAUUAAUGUUCUGGGUUGUAAAAUCAUGAACCCAUAACAUCAAAGUGCACGAAUUUGAAGAUUUAAACAAGUUGGAAAAACCGAAUUCUGUUAUUUUUCACCAAAUGUCAGAGGCUAUAACUCUUUGGUCGAUCUCGAGUUUUGUUGUUUAAAAGUUGUUAUAGGUAGCCUGAUAUGUGGUCUUUAAUCUCCAAAAGGAAUAAAGUUCAUAUCUAUUGUAGAUCGGGAUUUAUAAGCGGUCAAAGUGGGUUGACCGGCAUUGACCGGCUGUUCUUCAAACCCAGAAAAUAUUCUAAGUGUCCAGAAAAUAUUUUUUUGGAAAAUGUCAGGCCUUAUAUCUCGGUUAUCUUUAAUGUGUUUUGUGUUCUAAAGGUUGUUAUGUGUAGCUUGUUAUGUGGUAUUUAACCUCCAAAAAGAAUCAGGUCCAUAUAUAUUAUGGAUUAAGAGUUAUUUAAGGUCAAAGUGGGUUGACCGGCAUUGACCGGAAAAUUCUGGGCAGCCCAGAAUUUUCUAAGUGUUGAUUUUUCUGACAAGGUUUGACCAUACUUUAGCUGCUUGAUUUCUUGUUGUUAUGAUGAUGUUAAGUGUUAAAGUUGUAGUCCUAUAUGUUGUCUACACACUGGAGUUGAUAGAUCACAUAAACGUUACACGAUCGUCAAGUUAUAGAGGCCCAAAGUAGGCAUCACGAACUGUUCUUCACGAAGAACAGCUCUGACAGCUAUUUUGAUGGCUAAUUUCUCCCAGAUCUGAUGUUGUUUAGAAGUAAUGAUUGUUGGUUAUUGUAUUCCGG
rnacentral:lncRNA from 1 species